UUCAGAAUUUUCCCUUAGUUGAAUAAAAGGUUUUCUCCUGUGUGGGAUGUGCGAUCAGCCUGGUGUUCAGAUCCCCUUAACCAGCCCCACUCUUCCUCUGUCGAGGGAAGCACCACCAGUCAUUGCAGUCGUUCACCGUGUGCGAGACCAGGAGCAUCUCAG